rnacentral:rRNA from 1 species
AACGAACGCUGGCGGCAGGCUUAACACAUGCAAGUCGAGCGCCCCGCAAGGGGAGCGGCAGACGGGUGAGUAACGCGUGGGAACGUACCUAGUUCUACGGAACAACUGAGGGAAACUUCAGCUAAUACCGUAUACGCCCUAAGGGGGAAAGAUUUAUCGGAAUUAGAUGAGCCCGCGUUGGAUUAGCUAGUUGGUGGGGUAAUGGCCUACCAAGGCGACGAUCUAUAGCUGGUCUGAGAGGAUGAUCAGCCACACUGGGACUGAGACACGGCCCAGACUCCUACGGGAGGCAGCAGUGGGGAAUAUUGGACAAUGGGCGCAAGCCUGAUCCAGCCAUGCCGCGUGAGUGAUGAAGGCCUUAGGGUUGUAAAGCUCUUUCAGUGGGGACGAUAAUGACGGUACCCACAGAAGAAGCCCCGGCUAACUUCGUGCCAGCCGCCGCCGUAAAAC